AGUGAACGCUGGCGGUAGGCCUAACACAUGCAAGUCGAACGGCAGCACGGUAAGAGCUUGCUCUUACGGGUGGCGAGUGGCGGACGGGUGAGGAAUACAUCGGAAUCUACUUUUUCGGGGGGGAUAACGUAGGGAAACUUACGCUAAUACCGCAUACGACCUACGGGUGAAAGCAGGGGAUCUUCGGACCUUGCGCGAUUGAAUGAGCCGAUGUCGGAUUAGCUAGUUGGCGGGGUAAAGGCCCACCAAGGCGACGAUCCGUAGCUGGUCUGAGAGGAUGAUCAGCCACACUGGAACUGAGACACGGUCCAGACUCCUACGGGAGGCAGCAGUGGGGAAUAUUGGACAAUGGGCGCAAGCCUGAUCCAGCCAUACCGCGUGGGUGAAGAAGGCCUUCGGGUUGUAAAGCCCUGUUGUUGGGAAAGAAAAGCAGCAGGUUAAUACCCCGCUGUUCUGACGGUACCCAAAGAAUAAGCACCGGCUAACUUCGUG
rnacentral:rRNA from 1 species